rnacentral:rRNA from 1 species
AAUUUUGAAGGGCCGCAGUAUUCUGACUGUGCAAAGGUAGCAUAAUCAUUUGCCUUUUAAUUAAAGGCUAGUAUGAAUGGUUGAACGAAAUACAAACUGUCUCACUUUUAUAAUUAUAAUAAUUUAGCUUUCUAGUUAAAAGGCUUGAAUAUUAUUAGAGGACGAGAAGACCCUAUAGAACUUUAUAUAAUUUUAUGUAAAUAUUUAUAGUAAAAUAAUUUUAUUUAUUUAUCUUUAUAUUUUGUUGGGGUGACAGGAAAAUUAAUAAAACUUUUUUGACGUGAAGCCAUUGAUUUAUGAAUAUUUGAUCCAUUAUUAUUGAUUAUUAGAAUAAGUUACCUUAGGGAUAACAGCGUAAUUUUGUUGGAGAGUUCAUAUCUAUAACAAAGUUUGCGACCUCGAUGUUGAAUUAAAGAAAUUUUAGAGUGCAGAAGCUUUAAGUAAUAGGUCUGUUCGACCUUUAAAUCUUUACAUGAUCUGAGU